GUGUUUGGCACCUCGAUGUCGGCUCAUCACAUCCUGGGGCUGAAGUAGGUCCCAAGGGUAUGGCUGUUCGCCAUUUAAAGUGGUACGCGAGCUGGGUUUAGAACGUCGUGAGACAGUUCGGUCCCUAUCUGCCGUGGGCGCUGGAGAAUUGAGGGGGGCUGCUCCUAGUACGAGAGGACCGGAGUGGACGCAUCACUGGUGUUCGGGUUGUCAUGCCAAUGGCACUGCCCGGUAGCUAAAUGCGGAAGAGAUAAGUGCUGAAAGCAUCUAAGCACGAAACUUGCCCCGAGAUGAGUUCUCCCUGACUCCUUGAGAGUCCUGAAGGAACGUUGAAGACGACGACGUUGAUAGGCCGGGUGUGUAAGCGCAGCGAUGCGUUGAGCUAACCGGUACUAAUGAACCGUGAGGCUUAACCUUACAACGCCGAAGGUGUUU
rnacentral:rRNA from 1 species